UACAGAGGGGGCGAGCGUUGUUCGGAAUUACUGGGCGUAAAGGGCGCGUAGGCGGCCCGCUAAGUCGAACGUGAAAUCCCCAGGCUCAACCUGGGAACUGCGUCCGAUACUGGCAGGCUUGAAUCCGGGAGAGGGAUGUGGAAUUCCAGGUGUAGCGGUGAAAUGCGCAGAUAUCAGGAGGAACACCGGUGGCGAAGGCGGUUCUCUGGGCAUUACCUGACGCUGAGGAGCGAAAGUGUGGGGAGCGAACAGG
rnacentral:rRNA from 1 species